CAGCAGCCGCGGUAAUACCGGCGGCCCGAGUGGCGGUCACUAUUAUUGGGCUUAAAGCGUCCGUAGCCGGGUUGGGAAGUCCUCCGGGAAAUCUGGCCGCUUAACGGUCAGAAUGCCGGAGGAUACUCCCAGCCUAGGGAGCGGGAGAGGCCGAGGGUAUUCCCGGAGUAGGGGGGAAAUCCUAUAAUCCCGGGAGGACCACCUGUGGCGAAGGCGCUCGGCUGGAACGCGUCCGACGGUGAGGGACGAAGGCCAGGGGAGCAAACCGGAUUAGAUACCCGGGUAGUCCUGGCGGUAAACGAUGCGGACUUUGUGUCGGACAAGCUAUGAGCUUGUCCGGUGCCGGAGGGAAACCGUUAAGUCCGCCGCCUGGGGAGUACGGCCGCAAGGCUGAAACUUAAAGGAAUUGGCGGG
rnacentral:rRNA from 1 species